rnacentral:rRNA from 1 species
AGGGCGCAAGCGUUGUCCGGAAUUAUUGGGCGUAAAGAGCUCGUAGGUGGCGUGUCGCGUCUGCCGUGAAAGCCCAUGGCUUAACUGUGGGUCUGCGGUGGAUACGGGCAGGCUGGAGGCUGGUAGGGGCAAGCGGAAUUCCUGGUGUAGCGGUGAAAUGCGCAGAUAUCAGGAGGAACACCGGUGGCGAAGGCGGCUUGCUGGGCCAGUUCUGACGCUGAGGAGCGAAAGCGUGGGGAGCGAACAGG